rnacentral:rRNA from 1 species
UACGGGGGGGGCAAGCGUUGUUCGGAAUUACUGGGCGUAAAGGGCUCGUAGGCGGCCAACUAAGUCCGACGUGAAAUCCCCAGGCUUAACCUGGGAACUGCGUCGGAUACUGGAUGGCUUGAAUCCGGGAGAGGGAUGCGGAAUUCCAGGUGUAGCGGUGAAAUGCGUAGAUAUCUGGAGGAACACCGGUGGCGAAGGCGGCAUCCUGGACCGGUAUUGACGCUGAUGAGCGAAAGCCAGGGGAGCAAACGGGG